ACUACUGCAGCCAAGCUCCCCAUCUGCACCGCCCUACCUGUCGCCAUCGCCAUCCCCGACGCCAUCAAUCUCCCUGUCCCCACUGCCACGAGCUCAUGCCCGCAUCGCCCUCGUCAUCCAGAUCGUAGUCACCGAUAAAAAUGGAACCAUCUAAACAUGCAUCUGCUAGCAACAGGAUUAUACAGCCAGGAGACAAGGGAGGAAAAACAGAUGGUGAGAGUGAUUCUGAAGAUGAAUAUGCAACGUACUUGGAUGAUGACAAGAAGAUUUGAAUAAUAUUGGUGGCAUGGAACAACUAGGCAAGUUUUUAGAUAAUGAUUUUUAUAUGAGUGUGAUUCUACAUAUGGAAAGAUCAUGAUGCAGACAAUACAAUAAAUCUGAAGUUUAAUUGGUUUGGUUAGCCUUGUGGUUUAAUUGUUAUGCAGCAUUUUACAUCAUGUACCAUUCUGUCCUACAGCAACUUGUGAGACAUCCACUUCCUAACUUGAUUAGGAUCAAGUGCAUGCAACCUGUGAAGCUUCAUUUGAGAUUUCAGUCUGCUGUAUUGAUCCUCAAAGUUGUGUAACUCUGAAUAUUGCAAAUUUAUGAGCUCUCCCAGUGUUGUCUCUUA